GGCUAAUAUCCCGCACUAAUGACGGUACCUGAAGAAUAAGCACCGGCUAACUACGUGCCAGCAGCCGCGGUAAUACGUAGGGUGCAAGCGUUAAUCGGAAUUACUGGGCGUAAAGCGUGCGCAGGCGGUUUUGUAAGUCUGUCGUGAAAUCCCCGGGCUCAACCUGGGAAUUGCGAUGGAGACUGCAAGGCUAGAAUCUGGCAGAGGGGGGUAGAAUUCCACGUGUAGCAGUGAAAUGCGUAGAGAUGUGGAGGAACACCGAUGGCGAAGGCAGCCCCCUGGGUCAAGAUUGACGCUCAUGCACGAAAGCGUGGGGAGCAAACAGGAUUAGAUACCCUGGUAGUCCACGCCCUAAACGAUGUCUACUAGUUGUCGGGUUUUAAUUAACUUGGUAACGCAGCUAACGCGUGAAGUAGACCGCCUGGGGAGUACGGUCGCAAGAUUAAAACUC
rnacentral:rRNA from 1 species